AGAUUGAACGCUGGCGGCAGGCCUAACACAUGCAAGUCGAGCGGCAGCACGGGUACUUGUACCUGGUGGCGAGCGGCGGACGGGUGAGUAAUGCCUAGGAAUCUGCCUGGUAGUGGGGGAUAACGCUCGGAAACGGACGCUAAUACCGCAUACGUCCUACGGGAGAAAGCAGGGGACCUUCGGGCCUUGCGCUAUCAGAUGAGCCUAGGUCGGAUUAGCUAGUUGGUGGGGUAAUGGCUCACCAAGGCGACGAUCCGUAACUGGUCUGAGAGGAUGAUCAGUCCACACUGGAACUGAGACACGGUCCAGACUCACGGGAGCAGCGAGUGGGAAUAGUUGGACAAGUGGGACGAAAGCCUGAUCCAAGCCAUGCCGCGUGUGUGAAGAAGGUCUUACGGAUU
rnacentral:rRNA from 1 species